rnacentral:rRNA from 1 species
UACAGAGGUCUCAAGCGUUGUUCGGAUUCAUUGGGCGUAAAGAGCUCGUAGGCGGUGUGUCGCGUCGGCCGUGAAAACCUGCAGCUUAACUGUGGGCUUGCGGUCGAUACGGGCAUCACUGGAGUUCGGCAGGGGAGACGGGAAUUCCUGGUGUAGCGGUGAAAUGCGCAGAUAUCAGGAGGAACACCGGUGGCGAAGGCGGGGUCUCUGGGCCGAUACUGACGCUGAGGAGCGAAAGCGUGGGGAGCGAACAGG